rnacentral:rRNA from 1 species
AAGACGAGAAGACCCCGUGAAGUUAGAAAUUUAAGUUAUUGGGAAGUUCCAAGGCUAUUUGUAGCCGAAUCGUUGAGGAGCACUAGAACUUAGUGUUUCAGAAGGGGUGAAUAAUAGCAGUUUUGGCUGGGGCAGCAAAGGAGCAAAGCUAGACUCCUUUAGGGUGUAAAACAGAUGUGUUACGACCCACAAACAUUAAGGUGUGAUUAUCAGAAGAAGUUACUCCGGGGAUAACAGCGUAAUCUGUCUUGAUAGUUCUUAUAGAUGGGCGGGUUUGCGACCUCGAUGUUG